rnacentral:rRNA from 1 species
UACGGAGGGUGCGAGCGUUGUUCGGAAUCACUGGGCGUAAAGGGCGUGUAGGCGGUCCGCUAAGUCUGAUGUGAAAGCCCGGGGCUCACCCCCGGAAGUGCAUUGGAAACUGGCGGACUCGAGUCCCGGAGAGGAGAGUGGAAUUCCUGGUGUAGCGGUGAAAUGCGUAGAUAUCUGGAGGAACACCGGUGGCGAAGGCGGCAUCCUGGACCGGCAUUGACGCUGAGGCGCGAAAGCCAGGGGAGCAAACGGG